rnacentral:rRNA from 1 species
UGGGGAAUUUUGGACAAUGGGCGCAAGCCUGAUCCAGCCAUGCCGCGUGCAGGAUGAAGGCCUUCGGGUUGUAAACUGCUUUUGUACGGAACGAAAAGGUGCCUUCUAAUAAAGGGCGCUCAUGACGGUACCGUAAGAAUAAGCACCGGCUAACCACGUGCCAGCAGCCGCGGUAAUACGUAGGGUGCGAGCGUUAAUCGGAAUUACUGGGCGUAAAGCGUGCGCAGGCGGUUUUGUAAGACAGAGGUGAAAUCCCCGGGCUUAACCUGGGAACUGCGUUUGUGACUGCAAGGCUGGAGUACGGCAGAGGGGGGUGGAAUUCCACGUGUAGCAGUGAAAUGCGUAGAGAUGUGGAGGAACACCGAUGGCGAAGGCAGCCCCCUGGGCCUGUACUGACGCUCAUGCACGAAAGCGUGGGGAGCAAACA